rnacentral:lncRNA from 1 species
CUUCCAUCUGCCUGGUUCUGUCCCCUUCCUUUCCCUCCUGCCUUUCACCCCGUUGUCCCCAGCUCCUGCUCCCAUUAAUCUUCCGCUUUCCCUAGUGGCAGGUCCUGGACUCUGGUCCCCCUGCUGUCACCGUUCCAGACUCCCAGGAAAUCACCUGAUCUCAGACGUUGGUUUCCCUGUGCAGGUUGGUGAUGAGACCCGCCUCAGAGGACUGUCACAGAAGUGAGGUCACCAAGAGGGAAAGCUCUGCAAGUCACCGAGGAAUAGGCCCUGAAGAGUGAGCCCCGGCCACUUGCCCUCGGUCCCCCAGCCUCUGGCCAGCUCGGGUCAGCCUCCCGGGCUUCCUGGCCCUCUGGGCCUCUUCUCAGGCAACCACUCUCCUCCACCGCCUGCUGCCAAACAGACCUUUUCCAGGAGGCCUCUCCAGCGCGUCCCCACGGUGCACACACAGGUGCUUCUGUCCCUCAGAGCCAUGGUGGCCCCUCCCAGGGUAAACACCCGCCCAGGCUGCUGGAUUUUGUCCCUCCUGACAGCCAGCGGCGGGCACCCUCCUACCCUCAGUCUCGAUAAGCUUGUCUGCUCCAGGUACGGCAUGUAGGGAAAUCAAAGGUCUGUUCUUUUGUGUCCGGCUUAUGUCAUCUAGCAUGUCUUCAAGAUUCAUCCACCAUGUCCUGCAUCAGAACUUCUUUUCUAUCUACCUAUUGAUUUGUUUGUUUGUUUAUUGGUUCUGGGGAUUGAACCCAGGGGUGCUAAACCACUAAGCCACAUCCCAGUCCUUUCUGUAUUUUCUUUAGAGACAGGGCCUCACUAAGCUGCUGAGGCUGGCUUUGAAUUUGUAAUCCUCCUGCCUCGAGCCUCCCAGUCACUAGGAUUACAGGCAUGUGCCACUGUUCCUGACUCCUUUCUUUUUAAGGUGGAAUAAUAUUCUACUGUAUGUACAUAUCACAUUUUGUUCAUUCAUUCAUUUAUUCGUGGACAUUUGGGUCACUUCUACUUUUUAGCUGUUGUUUUAAAAAAUGCCAUUAUGAAGCCAGGUGCAGUGGUGCACGCCUGUCAUCCCAGCAAAUCAGGAGGCUCAGGCAGGAGGAUCACAAGUUUGAGGCCAGCAAGACCCUGUCUCAAAAAUAAAGUUGGUUUUUUUUUUUAAUAAUUGUAAUAUUUAUUUUUUAGUUUUCGGUGGACACAACAUUUUUAUUUGUAUGUGGUGCUGAGGAUCGAACCCGGGCCGCACGCAUGCCAGGCGAGCGCGCUACCGCUUGAGCCACAUCCCCAGCCCUCAAAAAUAAAGUUUUAAUAAAGGGUUGGGGAUGUAGCUCAAUGGUAGAGUCCCUGGGUUCAAUCUCCAGUACACCCACACACACAGAGAGACCUCUAAGACAUCGUACAAAUGUCUGUUUGAACCCCUGCUUUCAGUUAUUUUGACUACAUCCCUAGAAGUGAAGUUUCUGAGUCAUAUAGUACUACUGUGUUUAAUUUUUUUGCCAACAACUUUCUAUUUUCUGGGUUUUUGUUUUUAAAAUAUCCAUCCUAAUGGAUGUGGUGGGGUAUCUCACUGUGAUUUUUAUUUGCAUUUUUGUAGUGAUUGGUGAUUUUUGAGCAUCAUUGUGUCUUGGGAAGUACUGGGGAUCAAACCAAGGACACUGCAUAUGGUAGUGCUCCCC